CAAGUCUUGACAUCCCGAUGACGAGAGGGUAAUGCCUCUUUCUCUUCGGAGCAAUGGGGACAGGUGGUGCAUGGUUGUCGUCAGCUCGUGUCGUGAGAUGUUGGGUUAAGUCCCGCAACGAGCGCAACCCCUAUCUUUAGUAGCCAGCAUGUAAAGGUGGGCACUCUAGAGAGACUGCCGGGGAUAACCCGGAGGAAGGUGGGGAUGACGUCAAAUCAUCAUGCCCCUUAUGAUUUGGGCUACACACGUGCUACAAUGGCGUAAACAAAGGGAAGCAGCCCUGUGAAGGUGAGCAAAUCCCAAAAAUAACGUCCCAGUUCGGAUUGUAGUCUGCAACCCGACUACAUGAAGCUGGAAUCGCUAGUAAUCGCGGAUCAGAAUGCGCGCGGUGAAUACGUUCCGC
rnacentral:rRNA from 1 species